CAGAGGCCUGGUUAACAACUACUGUCGUAACCCCGACAAUGAGGCAAGUCCCUGGUGUUACACUACUGACCCUGACAGCCGCUGGGAGUACUGUGAUGUGCCAAGCUGUGAGGAUGGAGUCGGACCAGCAUCCAAGCCUCCCACCCUCAUCCCACAUCUGACCUGUUUCACUGGUAAAGGUGAAGCAUACCGAGGCACCACUGCUGUAACUGAAUCUGGCAAAACAUGCCAGAGCUGGUCGGCUCAGACACCACACCAACACGACCGCACGCCACACAAUAAUCCCAGAAAAGGCCUGGUUAGCAACUACUGUCGUAACCCUGACAAUGAGAGGAGACCCUGGUGUUACACUACUGACUCUGAAAGCCGCUGGGAGUACUGCAGUGUACCACGCUGUGAGGAUGCAGCCAGACCAGGUAUAACAAUAAUCA